UAGCAAUACAUUAGACCGGCGCACGGGUGAGUAACGCGUAUGCAACCUGCCGUUAACCGGGGGAUAGCCCGUCGAAAGGCGGAUUAAUACCCCAUAAUAUUGGGAUUCUGCAUGGGAUUUCAAUUAAAGCUGAGGUGGUUAACGAUGGGCAUGCGUGACAUUAGCUAGUUGGUAGGGUAACGGCCUACCAAGGCUACGAUGUCUAGGGGUUCUGAGAGGAAGGUCCCCCACACUGGUACUGAGACACGGACCAGACUCCUACGGGAGGCAGCAGUGAGGAAUAUUGGUCAAUGGGCGAGAGCCUGAACCAGCCAUCCCGCGUGCAGGAAGACGGCCCUAUGGGUUGUAAACUGCUUUUGCGCAUGAAGAAUGUUACCGACGUGUCGGUAAGUGACGGUAAUGCGUGAAUAAGCAUCGGCUAACUCCGUGCCAGCAGCCGCGGUAAUACGGAGGAUGCAAGCGUUAUCCGGAUUUAUUGGGUUUAAAGGGUGCGUAGGCGGCCUUGUAAGUCAGUGGUGAAAACCUGCAGCUCAACUGUAGGCGUGCCAAUGAAACUGUGAGGCUUGAGUGACGUUGAGGCAGGCGGAAUGUGUAGUGUAGCGGUGAAAUGCUUAGAUAUUACACAGAACAUCCGAUUGCGUAGGCAGCUUGCUAAAGGUUAACUGACGCUGAUGCACGAAAGCGUGGGGAUCGAACAGGAUUAGAUACCUCUGGUAGUCCACGCUGUAAACGAUGAUGACUCGCUGUUGGCGAUAUACAGUCAGCGGCUU
rnacentral:rRNA from 1 species